GAUGAACGCUGACAGAAUGCUUAACACAUGCAAGUCAACUUGAACUUCGGUUUGGGUGGCGGACGGGUGAGUAACGCGUAAAGAACUUGCCUCACAGAUAGGGACAACAUUUGGAAACGAAUGCUAAUACCUGAUAUUAUGAUUAUAUGGCAUCGUAUAAUUAUGAAAGCUAUAUGCGAUGUGAGAGAGCUUUGCGUCCCAUUAGCUAGUUGGAGAGGUAACGGCUCACCAAGGCGAUGAUGGGUAGCCGGCCUGAGAGGGUGAUCGGCCACAAGGGGACUGAGACACGGCCCUUACGCCUACGGGAGGCAGCAGUGGGGAAUAUCGGACAAUGGACCAAGAGUCUGAUCCAGCAAUUCUGUGUGCACGAUGAAGUUUUUCGGAAUGUAAAGUGCUUUCAGUUGGGAAGAAAAAAAUGACGGUACCAACAGAAGAAGUGAGGGCUAAAUACGUG
rnacentral:rRNA from 1 species